UACGAAGGGGGCAAGCGUUGUUCGGAAUUACUGGGCGUAAAGGGCGCGUAGGCGGCUUAUCAAGUCAGGCGUGAAAUUCCCGGGCUCAACCUGGGGGCUGCGCUUGAUACUGAUUGGCUUGAAUGCGGGAGAGGAUAGUGGAAUUCCCAGUGUAGAGGUGAAAUUCGUAGAUAUUGGGAAGAACACCAGUGGCGAAGGCGGCUAUCUGGACGGUUUCUGACACUAAGACUCGAAAGCGUGGGGAGCAAACAGG
rnacentral:rRNA from 1 species